AUUGAACGCUGGCGGCAGGCCUAACACAUGCAAGUCGGGCGAGUGGCGGACGGGUGCGUAAUGUAUGGGGAUCUGCCUGAUGGAGGGGGAUAACUACUGAAAACGGUAGCUAAUACCGCAUACCAUCAGAUGAUCCCAUAUGGGAUUAGCUUGUAGGUAAGGUAACGGCUUACCUAGGCGACGAUCCCUAGCUGGUCUGAGAGGAUGACCGUCCACACUGGGACGGAGAAACGGCCCAGACUCCUACGGGAGGCAGCAGUGGGGAAUAUUGCACAAUGGGCGCAAGCCUGAUGCAGCCAUGCCGCGUGUAUGAAGAAGUCCUUCGGGUUGUAAAGUACUUUCAGUCGGGAGGCGUUACCGACAGAAGAAGCACCGGCUAACUCCGUGCCAGCAGCCGCGGUAAUUC
rnacentral:rRNA from 1 species